UACGGGGGGAGCAAGCGUUGUUCGGAUUUACUGGGCGUAAAGGGCGCGUAGGCGGCGCAACAAGUCACUUGUGAAAUCUCCGGGCUUAACCCGGAGCGGUCAAGUGAUACUGUCGUGCUAGAGUGCGGAAGGGGCUACUGGAAUUCUCGGUGUAGCGGUGAAAUGCGUAGAUAUCGAGAGGAACACCUGCGGCGAAGGCGGGUAGCUGGGCCGACACUGACGCUGAUGCGCGAAGGCCCAGGGGAGCAAACGGG
rnacentral:rRNA from 1 species